AACUGCCAUAAUGGCCAUAGCAGAAACAUUCAUGUCAUGGCCCCUGUCAGAUUCCAAUGAAUCUGCUAAAUACCUU
rnacentral:ribozyme from 1 species